rnacentral:rRNA from 15 species
GACUGAAAUGAGAGCGAUUUAAAACCCCCAUCGAGUAUCAAUUGGAGGGCAAGUCUGGUGCCAGCAGCCGCGGUAAUUCCAGCUGCAAUAGCGUAUACUAAAGUUGUUGCAGUUAAAAAGCUCGUAGUCGAACGUGC